rnacentral:rRNA from 1 species
GCAGUCGAGCGGAUGACAGGAGCUUGCUCCUGAAUUCAGCGGCGGACGGGUGAGUAAUGCCUAGGAAUCUGCCUGGUAGUGGGGGACAACGUUUCGAAAGGAACGCUAAUACCGCAUACGUCCUACGGGAGAAAGCAGGGGACCUUCGGGCCUUGCGCUAUCAGAUGAGCCUAGGUCGGAUUAGCUAGUUGGUGAGGUAAUGGCUCACCAAGGCGACGAUCCGUAACUGGUCUGAGAGGAUGAUCAGUCACACUGGAACUGAGACACGGUCCAGACUCCUACGGGAGGCAGCAGUGGGGAAUAUUGGACAAUGGGCGAAAGCCUGAUCCAGCCAUGCCGCGUGUGUGAAGAAGGUCUUCGGAUUGUAAAGCACUUUAAGUUGGGAGGAAGGGCAUUAAACUAAUACUUUGCUGUUUUGACGUUACCGACAGAAUAAGCACCGGCUAACUCUGUGCCAGCAGCCGCGGUAAUACAGAGGGUGCAAGCGUUAAUCGGAAUUACUGGGCGUAAAGCGCGCGU